UACGUAGGUGGCAAGCGUUGUCCGGAUUUAUUGGGUUUAAAGGGUGCGUAGGCGGUCUUUUAAGUCAGUGCUGAAAUAUCCCGGCUUAACCGGGAGGGUGGCAUUGAUACUGAAGGACUUGAGUAAAGUUGAGGUAGGCGGAAUUGACGGUGUAGCGGUGAAAUGCUUAGAUAUCGUCAAGAACACCGAUAGUGUAGACAGCUUACUAAGCUUUAACUGACGCUGAGGCACGAAAGUGUGGGGAUCAAAC
rnacentral:rRNA from 1 species